rnacentral:lncRNA from 1 species
ACUUCGAGCCCCGAAAAGCUAAUAGUAGGUUUUUCUCUCCAUUGAAACAAUACGGUCGUUAUACUCAUUAUUAAACUUGUUGAAGAGAUGAAAUAUAAUCAAGGUAUAUCGUUUUGAUCAGAGGUUGAAUCGAUCAUCAGAAGAAGAAUUAUGCCAAAAAUCAAACUUCCAUCAAAGAGAAGCAAAUGGAAGGCUUCUAUAAAAAUUCUCGUAGAAUCAAGAAUGAAGUUUUCAUUCUGUGCAAGGAAGCAAGCAAUU